UACGUAGGGUGCGAGCGUUGCCCGGAUUUAUUGGGCGUAAAGGGCGCGUAGGCGGCGGGGUAAGUCUGGUGUGAAAUCUCGGAGCUCAACUCCGAAAUUGCACUGGAUACUGCUCUGCUAGAGGGCUGGAGAGGAGAUCGGAAUUCACGGUGUAGCAGUGAAAUGCGUAGAUAUCGUGAGGAAGACCAGUGGCGAAGGCGGAUCUCUGGACAGCUCCUGACGCUGAGGCGCGAAGGCUAGGGGAGCAAACGGG
rnacentral:rRNA from 1 species